rnacentral:rRNA from 1 species
UGGGGAAUUUUGCACAAUGGGGGAAACCCUGAUGCAGCGACGCCGCGUGAUUUAGAAGGCCUUCGGGUUGUAAAAAUCUUUUCUAUGGGAAGAAAAUGACAGUACUAUACGAAUAAGGACCGGCUAAUUACGUGCCAGCAGCCGCGGUAAUACGUAAGGUCCGAGCGUUGUCCGGAAUCAUUGGGCGUAAAGGGUACGUAGGCGGGUAAGCAAGUUAGAAGUGAAAUCCUAUAGCUCAACUAUAGUAAGCUUUUAAAACUGUUCAUCUUGAGGUAUGGAAGGGAAAGUGGAAUUCCUAGUGUAGCGGUGAAAUGCGCAGAUAUUAGGAGGAAUACCGGUGGCGAAGGCGACUUUCUGGCCAUAACCUGACGCUGAGGUACGAAAGCGUGGGUAGCAAACAGG